rnacentral:pre_miRNA from 1 species
AGCUAUUCCCAUCGUUCCAUAAUAUAAGGGAUUUUGGUCGGAUGUGACACAUUCUAGUAAUAUGAAUCUGGGCGGCCCAGAUUCGUAGUACUAGAAUAUGUCACAUCCCACCAAAAUCUCUUAUAUUAUGGGACGGAGGUGCUAAAGGGU